AAAGACGCCUUGCCAGCCAUCCUCGGUGCCUGCAACGGGAAAAACCCUUUAGCAGAGAAGGACUCCAGGAACACUUAAAACAGCUGCUUAAAGUGCACAGUGGUCUCUCUCCUGUAAAAACAAGACCCCUUGGCUUUAUAGAUUAAAUGUUACUUAUGUAAAAAAGAGACCAUAUGAGAUCUCUUUUCUUAGGAUCUUAAACAUGUCUACCAAGGGAAAGAGAAAAAAAAAUCAAUGAACCAGGAUCUCUCCUCUCACCAUUAAACUCGGGGGUGGGAGGGCACAAGGAAGGGGGAGCGCGGGAAUGAGAAAAAAAAUAUGUCCCCUGACUUCAGCUCUAUUU